rnacentral:lncRNA from 1 species
GCAUGAAUUAUACAUGAUUUGAAACGAGAGACGUGAAAAAUCUCUGCGGCCUACAUUUGGGGUGGGGGUGGGGCAGGACCUUUUUCGCGACGUCGGGAUAGGAUGUUUUAAUUAAAGCUCGGGAUUUCGGGAUUGAUCCUUUCGUGAUCCGGGAAUUCUUGUUUCGAAUUUCGGGAUGCCGUGAUUUAAAUUUCUUUAAAAUAGCCCCCCCCCCCCUUAUAUUCGAAGAUCUAGCUUCGGACCAUCAAAGACUGGAAUACUCUACCAAUAAGACUGUUAAAUAUAGAAGAUGCAGAGGCAUUCAAGAACAGCCUCACAUCUUAUUUAACAGAGUAGUCACGCAACAAACAUUUGAUUUUAAUUUCACAUGUAAAUACGUUUUUAAUGAGCACCAUAUUGAAUGACCAAAUUAGUACUUGCGUGAUGGGUCUUAGACCCUUUGCAUUUCAACG